rnacentral:rRNA from 1 species
AGUGAACGCUGGCGGUAGGCCUAACACAUGCAAGUCGAACGGCAGCACAGUAAGAGCUUGCUCUUACGGGUGGCGAGUGGCGGACGGGUGAGGAAUACAUCGGAAUCUACUUUUUCGUGGGGGAUGACGUAGGGAAACUUACGCUAAUACCGCAUACGACCUACGGGUGAAAGCAGGGGAUCUUCGGACCUUGCGCGAUUGAAUGAGCCGAUGUCGGAUUAGCUAGUUGGCGGGGUAAAGGCCCACCAAGGCGACGAUCCGUAGCUGGUCUGAGAGGAUGAGCGGCCACACGGGAGCUGAGAACGGGCCCAGCCCCCAAGGGGAGGCAGCGGGGGGGAUUUUGGGAAAAGGGCCGAAAGCUUGUCCAACCCUUCCCGGGGGGGGAAAGAGGGCCUGGGGGUUGAAAACCCUUUUGUUGGGAAAAAAAAGAAGAAGUUAAAACCCCCGCUGUUCUGACGGUACCAAAAGAAUAAGCACCGGCUAACUUCGUG